AAAUUGCUGUGGUAUUUUGACUAUACAAAGGUAUUGUAAUAAGAUUUUAAUUGAAUGCUAAAAGAAUGGAAUAACAGAUAAAUACUUUCUUUAAUUUAAUAAUUAAAUUUAUUAUUUUUUGUGCAGAAACAAAAAUAAAAAUUAAGGACAAGAAGACCCUAAGAAUUUUAAUUUGAUUUAAAUAAUUUAUAUUUUAAAAUCAAAUUUAAUUGGGGCGAUUGAAAAAUAUUUUCAACUUUUUUUUAAAAAAAAUAUGAACCAUUAAUAAUGGUAAUAUGAAAAAAAUACUCUAGGGAUAACAGCGUAAUAAUUUUUGAUAGUUCAUAUAGACAAAAUAGUUUGCGACCUCGAUGUUGGAUUAGGAUACUAAUUUAAUGAAGAAGUUAAAUUGAGAAGUUUGUUCAACUUUUAAAUUCCUAC
rnacentral:rRNA from 1 species